UACGUAGGGUGCGAGCGUUGUCCGGAAUUAUUGGGCGUAAAGAGCUCGUAGGCGGUUUGUUGCGUCUAUCGUGAAAACCUGCGGCUUAACUGUGGGCUUGCGGUGGAUACGGGCAGACUUGAGUUCGGUAGGGGAGACUGGAAUUCCAGGUGUAGCGGUGAAAUGCGUAGAUAUCAGGAGGAACACCGGUGGCGAAGGCGGCAUCCUGGACCGAGAUUGACGCUGAGGCGCGAAAGCCAGGGGAGCAAACGGG
rnacentral:rRNA from 1 species